GUGAGGGAGUUGGUAGUGAGGUAGUGAGGGAGAGAGGUAGUGAGGGAGUUGGUAGUGAGGUAGUGAGGGAGUUGGUAGUGAGGUAGUGAGGGAGAGAGGGAGUUGGUAGUGAGGUAGUGAGGGAGAGAGGUAGUGAGGGAGUUGGUAGUGAGGUAGUGAGGGAGUUGGUAGUGAGGUAGUGAGGGAGAGAGGUAGUGAGGUAGUGAGGGAGAGAGGUAAGUGAGGGAGAGAGGUAGUGAGGUAGUGAGGGAGUUGGUAGUGAGGUAGUGAGGGAGAGAGGUAGUGAGGUAGUGAGGGAGUUGGUAGUGAGGUAGUGAGGGAGAGAGGUAGUGAGGUAGUGAGGGAGAGAGGUAGUGAGGUAGUGAGGGAGAGAGGUAGUGAGGGAGAGAGGUAGUGAGGGAGAGAGGUAGUGAGGGAGAGAGGUAGUGAGGUAGUGAGGUAGUGAGGGAGAGAGGUAGUGAGGGAGAGAGGUAGUGAGGUAGUGAGGGACAGAGGUAGUGAGGGAGAGAGGUAGUGAGGGAGAG